CGGUUGAUCCUGCCGGAGGCUACUGCUAUUGGAAUCCGACUAAGCCAUGCGAGUCGAUCGGGUUUAGACCCGAGGCGGACGGCUCAGUAACACGUGAAGAACCUACCCUCAGGUAGGGGAUAAUCCCGGGAAACUGGGAAUAAUACCCUAUAGGUCUAGAAUGCUGGAAUGCUUCUAGGCUGAAAGCUCCGGCGCCUGAGGAUGGCUCUGCGGCCUAUCAGGUUGUAGUGAGGGUAACGGCCUCACUAGCCUACGACGGGUACGGGCCCUGAGAGGGGGAGCCCGGAGAUGGACUCUGAGACACGAGUCCAGGCCCUACGGGGCGCAGCAGGCGCGAAAACUCCGCAAUGCCCGAAAGGGUGACGGGGGGAUUCCAAGUGCCUACGCUUAGCGUAGGCUGUUCAGGUGCCUAAAAAGCACCUGGAGGAAGGGCUGGGUAAGACGGGUGCCAUCUGUGGCAGCAACAUUUGAGUUGCUACCGCAAGGCAUAAGCCGCCGCGGUAAUACCCGCAGCCCGAGUGGUAGUCGCUUUUAUUGGGCCUAAAGCGUCCGUAGCCGGUCUGGUAAAUGCCUGGGUAAAUCGUGGGGCUUAACCUCACGAAUUCCGGGUAGACUGCCAGACUUGGGACCGGUUGAGGGAGAGGGUACUCCAGGGGUAGGGGUGAAAG
rnacentral:rRNA from 1 species